CAACUUCAUUUUUCACAUAUUACUAAGACAGAGAACAAAACAGACAAUGGAAAAGAGCAACUCAAAGUAUGUGCCUCUAAAAAAGUACUACGAAUUGGAUGUCGUACCUGAAAUGAGUCUACCCCUUUCAAAGGAAGACCAGGAUAAAGUGAACAAGGCAGACAAAAAG